GUGUCAGCAGCCGCGGUAAUACGUAGGGGGCAAGCGUUGUCCGGAAUCAUUGGGCGUAAAGGGCGCGUAGGCGGAUACUUAAGUCUGGUGUGAAAACCUAGGGCUCAACCCUGGGACUGCAUCGGAAACUGGGUAUCUUGAGGACAGGAGAGGAAAGUGGAAUUCCACGUGUAGCGGUGAAAUGCGUAGAUAUGUGGAGGAACACCAGUGGCGAAGGCGACUUUCUGGACUGUAACUGACGCUGAGGCGCGAAAGCGUGGGGAGCAAACAGGAUUAGAUACCCUGGUAGUCCACGCCGUAAACGAUGAGUGCUAGGUGUAGAGGGUAUCGACCCCUUCUGUGCCGCAGUUAACACACUAAGCACUCCGCCUGGGGAGUACGGCCGCAAGGUUGAAACUUAAAGGAAUUGACGG
rnacentral:rRNA from 1 species